UGGGAGGCUGAUACACAAGUUGAGCUGAAGUACUACUGUCUUUGUCACUACACCUCCCUAGAACAAUUGUGAGAAAUCAUAAGGGACAGGUAUGGGCAGACAGUU
rfam:Erinaceus europaeus unplaced genomic scaffold scaffold00993, whole genome shotgun sequence